GUCCCAGUAGUGCAAUGCAGAGCCCAUUGGACUUCUAUUCCAAAGGUCGUGGAUUCAAAUCCCACCUAGGAUG